CUCCUGGUAGCUUAGUUGGUUUAAAGCGCGAGACUGUAAAUCUUGAGAUCGGGUGUUCGACUCACCCCCGGGAGA
rnacentral:tRNA from 1 species